UCUUAGCAAGACUCUGUGUCACCAGAAGUCUUCGUCGAGACUUGAGUCAACCCUCUAAUCGCUAAUUGGGUCUAGCAAAUCGUCGAUUUGAGGAGAAGAUCACCAGAGUUUGGUAGACUGACGACUUCUCCCUCAAACUCGUCGAUUUCAACCCAAAUCGUCGAUUCCAACCCCAAAUUGUCGAUUUCGGAGAGUUACUCACGUCCAACCUGGGCCAUAAUGACAAGAC
rnacentral:lncRNA from 1 species